GAAUCAGCAUGUCGCGGUGAAUACGUUCCCGGGCCUUGUACACACCGCCCGUCACACCAUGAGAGUUGGUAACACCCGAAGUCCGUGAGGUAACCGUAAGGAGCCAGCGGCCGAAGGUGGGAUUGAUGAUUGGGGUGAAGUCGUAACAAGGUAGCCGUAGGAGAACCUGCGGCUGGAUCACCUCCUUUCUAGGGAG
rnacentral:rRNA from 1 species